GGCUCGGUGGUGGAUGGUCCGCACCUGCAGGAAAUAUCAAUUGGUGUUAUUUGAGCAGGAAUCCCUCGUUCGAUUCGAGGCUGAGCCA